CGGGGCCUUUCCCAGGUUGCCUUGCGCCUGGCUGUCGCGGUUGCCGGGCAACGGAUGAUCCAGGGCGCGGGCCCCGCUGGGUUCUGCCGCGCCAUGGGGCCGCAGGGCCUCCGGCCGCUUCUGCUGGUGCUUCUGGCCGGCUGGGCCUCCGUGAGCGCGCAAGCCGUGGCCACUCCCGCGGAGCCGACGGAGGACAUCAACUCCACCGAGGCACCCCCUGCCACUCUCGGACCCUCCUUCGCGCCUAGGACCCUAGGCACCUCCAGAUCCCCGGAGCCCUCCUCCAGCCCCAGGCCCGUCCCCGUCACAGAUGUGGCUGCUCUGUGUGUCUGUGACUUGUCCCCCGCCCAGUGUGAUGUCAACUGCUGUUGUGACCCUGACUGCAGCCCUGUGGACUUCAGUGUCUUCUCUGCUUGCUCAGUUCCGGUCGUCAUGGGUGAUAGCCACUUCUGCAGUCAAAAAGCAGCCAUCUAUUCGUUGAAUUUUACAGCAGACCCACCUAAGAGGGUAUUUAAACUUGUUGACCAGAUCAAUCCAUCUAUUUUCUGCAUUCAUACUACAAACUAUAAACCUGCAUUAUCCUUUAUUAAUCCAGAAGUGCCUGAUGAGAGGAGUUUCGAUAGGUGGAUGAAAACAUCUGAGGGUUUUACACCGAAUGCAGAAGCAGAUGUUUCUUUUACAGUGAAAUCAAGUGCUUCAAAUGCUUCUAAAUAUGAGUACGGGGCUCCUCUGCAGGCUUCGGACGCGUCUCCACACCCGUUUCUGAGAUUCCCUUCGCCUCUCACGUCGGCCCUGUGCGCUGAUAACAACCCUGCCGCAUUUCUGGUGAACCAGGCUGUGAAGUGUACCAGAAGCAUAAAUUUAGAACAGUGUGAAGAAAUGGAGGCCCUUAGGAUGAAUUAUUACAGCAGCCCUACGAUUCUGAGGGUGCCCAAUUCCGUGACACAGGUCCCAAUCACUGUCCGGUCCAUCACCGUUCAGUCUCUAAAUAAAACACUGACCCGCCUGGAGGACACGGGUGUACGGCUGCCGUCUCUUGUCAGUUCUGGGCCUGACAGGAUCUGCAUCAACGUCGUGCUUGAAGUGAAAUACAGCCUCACGUAUACAGACGCGGGUGAGAUCACCGGCGCGGGCCUCUCACUGCUGCUGGGAACCGUUAGCCGUGCCACGGUCCCCCUGCAGCAGAAGUUUGAAAUUAGCUUUAUUCAGCAAAACGCAAGGCCCAUUGCUCUCAGCGGCAACCCUGGCUACGUGGUGGGGCUCCCGCUGGUCGCCGGGCUGCGGCCUCCAAAGGGGUCUGCGAUUAUUCAGACCAUGAACAGAUACGGACAGCUCACCGUUCUCCGCAGCACGAGGGAGCAAGACUGCCUGGCGGCGGAAGGGCUGCGGGCCCCAGUGCUGUUCGGCUACAACAUGCAGACUGGCUGCCAGCUCAGGCUGAGCCCGGCCAUCCCCUGCCGGCUCGUGGCGCAGAAGGUGAAGGACCUGCUGAAGGGCCAGGGCUUCCCGGACUUCGUGGCCCCGUUCGGCAACUCCAGGGCCCAGGAUGUGCUGGACUGGGUGCCUGUCCACUUCAUCACCCACUCGCCCCCCACCAAGGGUUCUUGUCAGCUCCCCGUGGCUCUGGUCAUAGAAGUGAAGUGGACCAAGUACGGAUCCUUGCUGAACCCCCAAGCCAGGAUAGUAAACGUCACGGCGAAUCUCAUCUCCUCCGCCUUUCCCCAGGCCCACUCGGGACGUGAAGGGGCCAUCGUGGUCUCCACCGUGGUGACGUUCGCGGACGUGUCUGCCCCUGCGGCGGCCGGCUUCCGUGCACGGCCCACCGUCCACGCCAGGCUGCCCGCCGGCUUCUUCUUCCCGUUCGCAUGAGGACGCGCCGCUGCCCCUCGUGCCGCCCACAGCCCGUCCCCGCCGCUGCCGGCCGUGUCCCUCGGAGCGGCGCUGCGCGGCGUUCCGGUUUUGAGCCGCCCCGGGAGACCCAGGGAACGCACCGUGACAAGGGCGUCCAGGCCGGCACGUGCACAGAGUUCCUUUUUUUCCCAAAAGCACACGGGAAGACGCUUCUGAGGUCCAGCCUGUCCCGUGUCCAUGCCCGUUGGGUG